AGCGGGUGAAAGAAGAUGCUCGAAAGAAGGUGCAGCAGGUGGAAGAUCUCCUAACUAAAAGAAUACUCCUUUUGGAAAAGGAUGUGACAGCCGCCCAGGCAGAACUGGAAAAGGCCUUUGCAGGGACAGAGACGGAGAAGGCUCUUCGGUUGCGUUUGGAAAGCAAGCUUUCAGAGAUGAAGAAGAUGCACGAGGGGGACUUGGCGAUGGCUCUGGUCCUGGAUGAGAAAGACAGGCUGCACAAAUGGAGCAUCAGAAGGAGAGAAACAGCUUUGAAGAGAGGAUCCAGGCACUUGAAGAGGACCUGAGAGAGAAGGAAAGAGAAAUUGCUACAGAGAAGAAAAAUAGUCUAAAGAGGGAUAAAGCCAUUCAGGGUUUAACCAUGGCAU
rnacentral:lncRNA from 1 species